rnacentral:rRNA from 1 species
CUAGUUGGUAGGGUAAAGGCCUACCAAGGCCACGAUCGGUAGCUGGUCUGAGAGGAUGAUCAGCCACACUGGGACUGAGACACGGCCCAGACUCCUACGGGAGGCAGCAUGGGGAAUAUUGGACAAUGGGCGCAAGCCUGAUCCAGCAAUGCCGCGUGUGUGAAGAAGGCCUGCGGGUUGUAAAGCACUUUCAGUGGGGAAGAACAGGUUCGGGUCAAUACCCCGGAGCCCUGACGUUACCCACAGAAGAAGCACCGGCUAACUCCGUG